rnacentral:other from 1 species
UGCUGACUGCGCUGUGCGCCAGCCCUACGCAUUUCAGAACCUAUCGCGUAAAUUCGGGAAUCCAAAUCCGGUUGUGGCCAAGAUGCCAACUGAACCUGGACCUUGAAAGCAACCGUGAGGACAACCACCUUUGGGGGACGGUUCUCGAACAUCGAACGGGCAGCGGCAGGGCGGUCCUACA